rnacentral:lncRNA from 1 species
CCAGCCGCUCUCUGGCCCCUUCCCUCUCGGUCCCGGCGUCCUCGCCGCACCGGGUAGGGAAAGGGGCCCCACCCUCCCUCCCUCCUGUACAGCCUAUAGGAGUCCCGAUGGGGUCUCCCCUGGUGGUCGCCUUCGCCGUCGUUGUCUCUGCUGCUGCAGUUCCCGCCGCCGACGAGGCUCCUACCAAGGUACGUUUAAAUAAAGUAAAUCUGCUCCUCCGCAGCUCGGUCUCCCCCUCAUCCUCUUCCACCUCGCCAUCCUCGCGCCACCCUCCAGAUCUGUGCUCGGUCUCCCCCUCCUCUUCCACCUCGCCUUCCUCGCGCCACCCCCCAGAUCUGUGCUACUCCGACCCGCAUCCACCGUGUCCCGCCUCCGCCUCCUCCUCUACUAUGCAGCCAUCGCAUCCGCCGAUCCA